GGAACUGACAGUUCCUAGGGGGUGCACACCCUGAGAAGUUCCAGGGCCCCAGGAACUCCUCUCAUCUCUGCUUCUGUCAAUCCAGAGGUUCUUGACACCUCUACCCUAAAUGGGAAACUACAGAAAAUCGUCUGGAUCUGUCCCCUUCAGAGUCCUAACAGGCUCAGAAACAGACCCAGAGGACUAUUCAUCAGACAAUUCAAGAGGCUGCACCUUUGCCCAAGUAUGAGCCUGCCCACAAGUUUCAGCCUGGAGACCUUGUACCUGGAGGAAGACCCCACUUACCAUUCAUCUUGGCCAUGGCUCCGAAACUCAUGCUGAAGUCUCAGCAGCUCAUCC